rnacentral:rRNA from 1 species
ACGCUCGACACCUACGGAGGCAGCAGUGAGGAAUAUUGGUCAAUGGGCGCAGGCCUGAACCAGCCAAGUAGCGUGAAGGAUGACUGCCCUAGUGGGUUGUAAACUUCUUUUAUAUGGGAAUAAAGUUUUCCACGUGUGGAAUUUUGUAUGUACCAUAUGAAUAAGGAUCGGCUAACUCCGUGUCAGCAGCCGCGGUAAUCUGAGCGGGCUGGCAAGGC